GGAGUUAGCCGGUGCUUCUUCUGUGAGUGAUGUCCUUCCUGCCGGCUAUUAACCCGCAGGCCUUCUUCCUCACUGAAAGUGCUUUACAACCCGAAGGCCUUCUUCACACACGCGGCAUGGCUGGAUCAGGGUUGCCCCCAUUGUCCAAUAUUCCCCACUGCUGCCUCCCGUAGGAGUCUGGGCCGUGUCUCAGUCCCAGUGUGGCUGAUCAUCCUCUCAGACCAGCUACGGAUCGUCGCCUUAGUGAGCCGUUACCUCACCAACCAGCUAAUCCGACAUAGGCUCAUCCGAUAGCGCGAGGCCCGAAGGUCCCCCGCUUUCCCCCGUAGGGCGUAUGCGGUAUUAGCCUGGGUUUCCCCAGGUUAUCCCCCACUACCGGGCAGAUUCCUAUGCAUUACUCACCCGUCCGCCGCUCGCCACCAGGGAGCAAGCUCCCCGUGCUGCCGCUCGACUUGCAUGUGUUAGGCCUGCCGCCAGCGUUCAAUCUGAGCCAGAAUCGAACCCUGA
rnacentral:rRNA from 1 species